rnacentral:lncRNA from 1 species
AGAGAAAGAUACAAUACUGUUAUCCAGUUUGUAGAUUUUUUUUGUACGUUUUUUUCCCCAGCCAGAGAGACGGCGCAUAUCACAGAAGAAGGAGAAUAUCACAACAAUGAAGUGCGACUGGCAAAGCAGAGUGCCAAAGAGUACCUUUUGGCCACUUGCAAGGACAUGUUUUACACAGAACAUCAUCUCUUAUAGAAGACUUAACUCAAGUCUGAUCCCAACUUGACCACCACUGGUUAUGAAAACCUGCAUCCUCACAGUAAAUCGGUAAGUUCCUUAACAAAUACUAAAAUAUAUUCAGACCUUUGUUUUCUUCUGUUAUGGCAUUGUGAGUUAGCAUGACUGCUCAUAACCUUUUUGUUUCU